rnacentral:rRNA from 15 species
GAGCUGGGUUCAGAACGUCGUGAGACAGUUCGGUCCCUAUCUGCCGUGGGUGUAGGAAUAUUGACAGGAUCUGUCCCUAGUACGAGAGGACCGGGAUGGACGAACCUCUGGUGUGUCAGUUGUUCCGCCAGGAGCACCGCUGAUUAGCUACGUUCGGGAUGGAUAACCGCUGAAAGCAUCUAAGCGGGAAGCCGGCCUCAAGAUGAGACUUCCAUGCCUUCGGGCGAGAGGCUCCCAGCCAGACUACUGGGUUGAUAGGCCAGAUGUGGAAGCGUGGCAACACGUGCAGCUGACUGGUACUAAUAAGCCGAUGACUUG